AUAUGCUUAUGCUUAUGAACUUUUAUUAAUGGAAGAUAAACAGAAUCAAUAAUCACUCAAAUGGGAGCCUUCUCUCUCUCUCUCUUUCCUCUUAUUGCUUUUCUCCACAAUUUCUGGUCUAUUUAUAUCACUAUAUUUUCAUUCUUGAAAAAAGAAUGAUGUAAUUACGAGUCCUGAAAUUACAAAAUGUACAAACAAAGAUGCAUGUCUCAUGAACACGGCUACAAGACCGGGAAUGCUCCAUUUGAUGCUUGAGAUAUUUGCACUUCACAGCCUGAGAUCUCUGCACAACUCCAUCUUCCAUUACUGCACAUGUUUUGCAAUCUUAACCGUUUGUUUAGAACUUUGAUAAUGUACUUAACUUAAACUGGUCGAGGGGCUAAAUGAAAGCUAGGCACACUUUGUUUAUCUGCUUGUUUGUAUGGAUCUACCCAACAUUUAUCCUCUGCUGCUGCUUUUUGCCAUCGUUUACGAAAAAUUUUGAAUUCAAUAAAGGAUUGCCUCCUUACUUCUAGUCUAGGAUCCUUCUUUUUAGAAUGAGAUGGCUCUUCAAGUAUAUGAUCCCUUUUAUUCGAAUGAGAUGAUUCCUUAUUUUCAUUUGUGCCUCCAAGCGUAGGACGACCAUAAUGCACUAUGUACUCAG
rnacentral:misc_RNA from 1 species